rnacentral:rRNA from 1 species
GAUGAACGCUGGCGGCGUGCCUAAUACAUGCAAGUCGAGCGAAUGGAUUAAGAGCUUGCUCUUAUGAAGUUAGCGGCGGACGGGUGAGUAACACGUGGGUAACCUGCCCAUAAGACUGGGAUAACUCCGGGAAACCGGGGCUAAUACCGGAUAACAUUUUGAACCGCAUGGUUCGAAAUUGAAAGGCGGCUUCGGCUGUCACUUAUGGAUGGACCCGCGUCGCAUUAGCUAGUUGGUGGGGUCACGGCUAACCAAGGCAACGAUGCGUAGCCGGCCUGAGAGGGUGAUCGGCCACACUGGGACUGAGACACGGCCCAGACUCCUACGGGAGGCAGCAGUAGGGAAUCUUCCGCAAUGGACGAAAGUCUGACGGAGCAACGCCGCGUGAGUGCUGAAGGCUUUCGGGUCGUAAAACUCUGUUGUUAGAGAAGAACAAGUGCUAGUUGAAUAAGCUGGCACCUUGACGGUACCUAACCAGAAAGCCACGGCUAACUACGUGCCAGCCGCCGCCGUAA